rnacentral:lncRNA from 1 species
AUGAAUCAUUAGUUAUUCGUACAAAAAAUCAAGUUAAUCAGAAAUCCUAUUGAAAAUUGAACAGCAUAACGGUUAUAAUUCGACUAACAGAAAACUUUGGAGUUAACAAAAGACUAAAGCCUCAAUAUCCUGCAUCAACUAAUUAACAAAUACAUUCUAGCCUACUUUAUCAUGCACCAACUAACGCAACUUUAUGCUAACAAUUG